CCGUGAAUUUUGGGCUGAUCUGAUUCUGGAAGAGCAAUAAUUUGCUUUUUAUAGAGGUAUGUUGCUGGGUUGUAGAGGUCAGGUCACUAUUCACUAGUCUUUAGCUGAUUGUUCUUGGUGCAUGCAAGUCUAGUUUUGGUUCAGAACUGAAACUUUGCAACGUGCCGUUUAUAAACUUCUGGAACUAUGGUUGGAGUUUCCUCGGUGGAAGAGUACCAGUUUGUUAGUCAAUACAUGUCCACAUUGGAUGUAUGUCAAAAAUUGAAUAAUAUUAACUUGGACUAUAAGAUUUGUUAGUUUGUAGUAAUAAGUCAUAUAAGUUUCUAACCCUCUGAACAGGACAAUUUCCGGGCAAUGAACUUUAUGAAAGUUCUGCGAGAAAAACCUAUCCAACAUUGUUAGUAGAUCAUAACUAAUGCGAGGUUUGCAAGUCGUAUAAGUUUAUCUGUCCCUGAAUAGGACAGCUGGGGACAAAGACGUUUCUGAAAGUUCUAGGAGAGGAACAUGUCCAACUUUGUUAGUAGACCGUAACUAAUGUGAGGUUUGUCAAUGUCCCUGAACAAGAAAAUUAGGGGCAAUGAUGUUUUGAAAGUUUCGGGAGAAGAACCUGUCCAACUUCGUUAGUAGACAGUGACUAAUGUGACCAUAUUAAACUUAGAAGUUUCCGUAAAACGUCGUGUGCUGCUUUGCGUAACAAGUAGUUGAUGCAGAAAAAUAGGAGCACGCACGCACGCCGCUGCCAUCGGAAUACCAUUUCCCAUUCAACAUGGUCCGGUCAAAGAUUCUUGUUCACCUUUGACAAAAUUUUCUCUGUUUACUUUGCCGUCUUAUAAAAAAACAUCACUGUCUUUCCAGUCAAAGUUACUGAAAGUUCUUGUUUAGUUGUUGCAUGUUUUCUGUAUUACCGGUACAGAUCCUUUAUUUAGACGAAGACGAAGCAUAAGAACCAACCAUAGUGAAUGCAGCUGCCUUCAUUUGCCUCACAAUGGCUUGGUGGUACCUCUUGGUUCUUCGAGUUGUUACAACUGGGAUCAUUCUGCUCGUUUUCCUGAACCGUGCGGCAUCUUCAUCACAAGCCGGGCCCAUUUGUCCACCUUGUCUUUGCUGCCAAUGCAGCUGUGGACCGCGAUGAACGAUUAUACAUUCCAGCAUUUUCCCCGGUAUUACCAUUCCGCAGAAAGCCGAUGAGCCUAGGCUCAGAAAUGAAUAUUCGAUGACAUUCUUCUCUUUUUACACUAUUUUCGUCACUGUUGUUUUGAGGAAUUAUCAUAUAUAUGUAUAUUCGGUUGCGCCAUAGUAAAAUAAUAUACUGGUGUACCGAUUAA